rnacentral:rRNA from 1 species
UACGGAGGGGGCUAGCGUUGUUCGGAAUUACUGGGCGUAAAGCGCGUGUAGGCGGUCCGGUAAGUCCGCUGUGAAAGUCGAGGGCUCAACCCUCGAAUGCCGGUGGAUACUGUCGGGCUUGAGUACGGGAGAGGCGAGUGGAAUUCCUGGUGUAGCGGUGAAAUGCGCAGAUAUCAGGAGGAACACCGGUGGCGAAGGCGGAUCUCUGGGCCAUUACUGACGCUGAGGAGCGAAAGCGUGGGGAGCGAACAGG